rnacentral:ncRNA from 1 species
AAGAAAGAGGUUGCAACUUUUAAUAGUAUUAUUUUGUUAUCAGAUUAUUGCAAAAUAUGAAAGGAAAAGUUGCCGAAAUUAAGAAGAAUAUCUGGUUCUUUUUAGUUGGGCUAAUGCAAAAUAUGUAUUAGACUGUCACAGAAAAUCUGUGGAGUGCUUUCG